AUGACGGCCUGCAGAUCUUCUCCAUCAACAUCCAGCCCAGCGGCCUCCGCUUCGCCACGGGAGGUUCCCAUAUGGAACAUGAAAUCCAUGAGCAAAGACGACCAAAAUGAUGAUUCCAAUCAAACAUUUCUGGCUACAAUGUGUGACCAUUUCGGAUCAGUAAACUGUGUGAGAUGGGCCAAGCAUGGACGCUAUCUUGCUUCCGGAUCAGACAAUCAAGCUAUUCUAAUUCGUGAAAGGAAAGCUGGUUCCGGUACAUCUGAGUUUGGAAGUGGAGAGCCUGCAGAUAUAGAAAAUUGGAAGGUCAUUAUGACCUUAAGGGGGCAUACUGCAGACGUGGUAGAUCUAAAUUGGUCCCUUGAUGACUCGAUGUUGGCUAGCGGAGCUUGGACAAUACUGUUCACAUUUGGAGCAUGA
rnacentral:rRNA from 1 species